rfam:Brachypodium distachyon strain Bd21 chromosome 2, whole genome shotgun sequence.
UACUUACUCCCUCCGAUCCAUAUUAAUUGUCAAAAUAUUACAUGUAUAUAGACGAUUUUUAGACAUAGAUACAUCCAUUUUUUAACAAAUUUAAGACAAUGAAUAUGGAUCGGAGGGAGUAUGUU